GCCUCCCGCCCUCUCUCUUGCUGGCCGCACGCCCCGGCCCCGCGCACCUCCGCCCGGCUCCGCAGCCGCUACCCGCGCUUCGUUGCCCUGUGGGACUCCGAGCGAGCCCGGAGGGAACCCUCCUCUUCUUCUGGGGGCGACUUUUGUUUGCUUGCCUGUUUCUUUCUGGUGACUUUUGCAGCUUUCCAAUAUCCGUCUUCGGAGCGCACGGGAAUCCGCCGAGCUCUGCGUGCAGGCCCUUUUUUCUUUUGAGGUUCACAUUUUUUGAAAUUUUACGCCAGGGCUUUUGUAAUUUCCUCCCCCGCCCGCUGACGGUCCUGGAGUCGCUCGGGGCUUUAGGCCGGUUAUGCAACGUGUACCGCUCGGGGCUGCCGGCUGCACCUCCGCCGCGCCUCGCCGCUCACUGCGCUAGACCCGGCGCCCCGCGUCUCGCUUCGCGGGCAGUCAGGGGGCCGGCGCUCUGUCGAGGUCUCCAGCUAGAGCAGGGAGCCCGAGCCCGAGGGAGUCCCCGGAGCCGACGAAGGGCUUAUUAGACCCUGACUCUUUUCUGAGGCGCGCAGAUUUUGUCUUUGAUCACUCCCUCUCCGCGGGUCUACGGCCGCGCGCUUUCGGCGCCGGCGAUGGGGAGAAGACGGAGGCUGUGUCUCCAGCUCUACUUCCUGUGGCUGGGCUGUGUGGUGCUCUGGGCGCAGGGCACGGCCGGCCAGCCUCAGCCUCCUCCGCCCAAGCCGCCCCGGCCCCAGCCGCCGCCGCAACAGGUUCGGUCCGCUACAGCAGGCUCUGAAGGCGGGUUUCUAGCGCCCGAGUAUCGCGAGGAGGGUGCCGCAGUGGCCAGCCGCGUCCGCCGGCGAGGACAGCAGGACGUGCUCCGAGGGCCCAACGUGUGCGGCUCCAGAUUCCACUCCUACUGCUGCCCUGGAUGGAAGACGCUCCCUGGAGGAAACCAGUGCAUUGUCCCGAUUUGUAGAAAUAGUUGUGGAGAUGGAUUUUGUUCCCGUCCUAACAUGUGUACUUGUUCCAGUGGGCAAAUAUCAUCAACCUGUGGAUCAAAAUCAAUUCAGCAGUGCAGUGUGAGAUGCAUGAAUGGUGGGACCUGUGCAGAUGACCACUGCCAGUGCCAGAAAGGAUAUAUUGGAACUUAUUGUGGACAACCUGUCUGUGAAAAUGGAUGUCAGAAUGGUGGACGUUGCAUCGGACCCAACCGCUGUGCUUGUGUUUAUGGGUUCACUGGUCCACAGUGUGAAAGAGAUUACAGGACAGGCCCGUGUUUCACUCAGGUCAACAACCAGAUGUGCCAAGGGCAGCUGACAGGCAUUGUCUGCACGAAGACUCUGUGCUGUGCCACCAUUGGACGGGCGUGGGGCCAUCCCUGUGAGAUGUGUCCAGCCCAGCCUCAGCCCUGCCGACGGGGUUUCAUCCCCAACAUCCGCACUGGAGCUUGCCAAGAUGUUGAUGAAUGCCAGGCUAUCCCAGGGAUAUGCCAAGGAGGAAACUGUAUCAAUACAGUGGGCUCUUUUGAAUGCAGAUGCCCUGCUGGUCACAAACAGAGUGAAACUACUCAGAAAUGUGAAGGUGAGUCUCUCUACUUUGGGAAGCAUGCCUAAUUGUGACUUUAAUGCAAGAAAAACAGGACUUCAUUUGAAAUUUUGAAGACUACUGGUCACAAUUAAAACUCUUUAUCUACUAUGAAAGCAUAGGUUUAAGCCUAGAGUAGUUCUGUGUUUGUGUAUUGUAGCCUUAGUGGGUUUGAUUUGAAAAGAGUCAAUGAGCAUUUGCAUCUAGUUUGUUAUCUCAGUUGUGUUGCAUUGAGAAUGGGAGUAAUCCAGCCAUUUAUGUUUCUUCUUAAUAAAGUAGGUUUCCAUUUCACUUAUAAAGUUAUAUCAAAAACGAAAAUUGAGAUAGAAAUAAGAAGUCCAAGUGAAAUACAGUAUCAUGUGUAAAUGAUGUGUUAGUAGUUGGCACCGUGUCAUAUAUUAU
rnacentral:lncRNA from 1 species